UACGGAGGGUGCGAGCGUUGUUCGGAUUCAUUGGGCGUAAAGGGUGCGUAGGCGGCUUUGUAAGUUAGAGGUGAAAGCCCGGAGCUCAACUCCGGAACUGCCUUUAAAACUGCAUCGCUUGAAUCCAGGAGAGGUGAGUGGAAUUCCGAGUGUAGAGGUGAAAUUCGUAGAUAUUCGGAAGAACACCAGUGGCGAAGGCGGCUCACUGGACUGGUAUUGACGCUGAGGUGCGAAAGCGUGGGGAGCAAACAGG
rnacentral:rRNA from 1 species